rnacentral:ncRNA from 1 species
UAAGUUUGAUUCUAGCUUUCAUAAUUGACUAUCUAAUAAAAAUAUAUACACUUCUGAGACCUUUUCCAUUCUAAAAGAAUUUUGAAUAAAUUUGUAGUAUAUAAUAUUAAAAUAACCAUAUAAUAGUGAACUUAGUUAUUUACAUAAAAUUGGUUAAACAUGUGCCAGCUACCGCGGUUAGACAUAAAAUUUAAAUCAAUUAAAUCAGUAUACAUAGUUUCAUUAUUUAAGCAUUUAAAAGAAAAAUUAAUUAUAGAUUAAAUUAAUACUUUAUAUAACUUUAAAUAAUAAAAUAAUUUCAACUAAUAAAUUAUAAAAAUAAACUAGGAUUAGAUACCCUAUUAUUUUAUAACAUAAUUUUUUUUAACUAAGGUAAUAAUAGUUUCAAUCUCGAAACCUAAAGAAAAUUGACGGUUUUAUAACACACUAGGGGAACUUGUUUAUUAAUCGAUGCUCCACGUUUAACCUCACCUAAUUUAGUUUUCCAGCAUAUAUACCGCUGUCGUCAGAUUUAUUUAAAAGAAAAUAUCUAAUAACGAAUAUUAAAAACCUUAGAUGUCAAGCCAUGGUAUAGCUAAUAAUUAGGAAUAAAUGAGUUACAAUAAUAAAAUAUUAAUACGAAUUAUAUUUUAAUAAAAUAUAGGAAGGAGGACUUAGCUGUAAUUUUUAAAAAUAAUUAGAAAUGAAGAAGCAAUUUAAAAUGUACAUACCGCCCGUCACCCUUACAAUAAUUUAAGGUAAGUCGUAACAAGGUAACCCCGCCGGAAGGGGGGGUUAGAAAA